rnacentral:rRNA from 1 species
GGUUAAGCGACUAAGCGUACACGGUGGAUGCCCUGGCAGUCAGAGGCGAUGAAGGACGUGCUAAUCUGCGAAAAGCGUCGGUAAGGUGAUAUGAACCGUUAUAACCGGCGAUGUCCGAAUGGGGAAACCCAGUGUGAUUCGUCACACUAUCGUUAACUGAAUACAUAGGUUAACGAGGCGAACCGGGGGAACUGAAACAUCUAAGUACCCCGAGGAAAAGAAAUCAACCGAGAUUCCCCCAGUAGCGGCGAGCGAACGGGGAGCAGCCCAGAGUCUGAAUCAGCUUGUGUGUUAGUGGAACGGUCUGGAAAGUCCGACGGUACAGGGUGAUAGUCCCGUACACCAAAAUGCACAGGCUGUGAACUCGAAGAGUAGGGCGGGACACGUGGUAUCCUGUCUGAAUAUGGGGGGACCAUCCUCCAAGGCUAAAUACUCCUGACUGACCGAUAGUGAACCAGUACCGUGAGGGAAAGGCGAAAAGAACCCCGGCGAGGGGAGUGAAAAAGAACCUGAAACCGUGUACGUACAAGCAGUGGGAGCACCUUCGGGUGUGACUGCGUACCUUUUGUAUAAUGGGUCAGCGACUUAUAUUCUGUAGCAAGGUUAACCGUAUAGGGGAGCCGCAGGGAAACCGAGUCUUAACUGGGCGUUAAGUUGCAGGGUAUAGACCCGAAACCCGGUGAUCUAGCCAUGGGCAGGUUGAAGGUUGGGUAACACUAACUGGAGGACCGAACCGACUAAUGUUGAAAAAUUAGCGGAUGACUUGUGGCUGGGGGUGAAAGGCCAAUCAAACCGGGAGAUAGCUGGUUCUCCCCGAAAGCUAUUUAGGUAGCGCCUCGUGAACUCAUCUUCGGGGGUAGAGCACUGUUUCGGCUAGGGGGUCAUCCCGACUUACCAACCCGAUGCAAACUACGAAUACCGAAGAAUGUUAUCACGGGAGACACACGGCGGGUGCUAACGUCCGUCGUGAAGAGGGAAACAACCCAGACCGCCAGCUAAGGUCCCAAAGUCAUGGUUAAGUGGGAAACGAUGUGGGAAGGCACAGACAGCCAGGAUGUUGGCUUAGAAGCAGCCAUCAUUUAAAGAAAGCGUAAUAGCUCACUGGUCGAGUCGGCCUGCGCGGAAGAUGUAACGGGGCUAAACCAUGCACCGAAGCUGCGGCAGCGACACUAUGUGUUGUUGGGUAGGGGAGCGUUCUGUAAGCCUGCGAAGGUGACCUGUGAGGGAUGCUGGAGGUAUCAGAAGUGCGAAUGCUGACAUAAGUAACGAUAAAGCGGGUGAAAAGCCCGCUCGCCGGAAGACCAAGGGUUCCUGUCCAACGUUAAUCGGGGCAGGGUGAGUCGACCCCUAAGGCGAGGCCGAAAGGCGUAGUCGAUGGGAAACAGGUUAAUAUUCCUGUACUUGGUGUUACUGCGAAGGGGGGACGGAGAAGGCUAUGUUAGCCGGGCGACGGUUGUCCCGGUUUAAGCAUGUAGGCUGAUUGUCCAGGCAAAUCCGGAUAAUCAAGGCUGAGGUGUGAUGACGAGGCACUACGGUGCUGAAGUAACAAAUGCCCUGCUUCCAGGAAAAGCCUCUAAGCAUCAGGUAACAUCAAAUCGUACCCCAAACCGACACAGGUGGUCAGGUAGAGAAUACCAAGGCGCUUGAGAGAACUCGGGUGAAGGAACUAGGCAAAAUGGUGCCGUAACUUCGGGAGAAGGCACGCUGGUGUGUAGGUGAAGUCCCUGCGGAUGGAGCUGAGACCAGUCGAAGAUACCAGCUGGCUGCAACUGUUUAUUAAAAACACAGCACUGUGCAAACACGAAAGUGGACGUAUACGGUGUGACGCCUGCCCGGUGCCGGAAGGUUAAUUGAUGGGGUUAUCCGUAAGGAGAAGCUCUUGAUCGAAGCCCCGGUAAACGGCGGCCGUAACUAUAACGGUCCUAAGGUAGCGAAAUUCCUUGUCGGGUAAGUUCCGACCUGCACGAAUGGCGUAAUGAUGGCCAGGCUGUCUCCACCCGAGACUCAGUGAAAUUGAACUCGCUGUGAAGAUGCAGUGUACCCGCGGCAAGACGGAAAGACCCCGUGAACCUUUACUAUAGCUUGACACUGAACAUUGAGCCUUGAUGUGUAGGAUAGGUGGGAGGCUUUGAAGCGUGGACGCCAGUCUGCGUGGAGCCAACCUUGAAAUACCACCCUUUAAUGUUUGAUGUUCUAACGUUGGCCCCUGACCGGGGUUGCGGACAGUGUCUGGUGGGUAGUUUGACUGGGGCGGUCUCCUCCCAAAGCGUAACGGAGGAGCACGAAGGUUAGCUAAUCCUGGUCGGACAUCAGGAGGUUAGUGCAAUGGCAUAAGCUAGCUUGACUGCGAGCGUGACGGCGCGAGCAGGUGCGAAAGCAGGUCAUAGUGAUCCGGUGGUUCUGAAUGGAAGGGCCAUCGCUCAACGGAUAAAAGGUACUCCGGGGAUAACAGGCUGAUACCGCCCAAGAGUUCAUAUCGACGGCGGUGUUUGGCACCUCGAUGUCGGCUCAUCACAUCCUGGGGCUGAAGUAGGUCCCAAGGGUAUGGCUGUUCGCCAUUUAAAGUGGUACGCGAGCUGGGUUUAGAACGUCGUGAGACAGUUCGGUCCCUAUCUGCCGUGGGCGCUGGAGAAUUGAGGGGGGCUGCUCCUAGUACGAGAGGACCGGAGUGGACGCAUCACUGGUGUUCGGGUUGUCAUGCCAAUGGCACUGCCCGGUAGCUAAAUGCGGAAGAGAUAAGUGCUGAAAGCAUCUAAGCACGAAACUUGCCCCGAGAUGAGUUCUCCCUGAGACUUUAAGUCUCCUGAAGGAACGUUGAAGACGACGACGUUGAUAGGCCGGGUGUGUAAGCGCAGCGAUGCGUUGAGCUAACCGGUACUAAUGAACCGUGAGGCUUAACCUU